rnacentral:rRNA from 1 species
CCCUUAGAUGUUCUCGGCCGCACACGCGCUACACUGAAAGAGGCAACGUGUUUGCCUGAUUCGAAAGAAUUGGGUAACCCCCUAAUCUCUUUCGUGCUGGGGAUUGAGGUUUGCAAUUAUCCUUCAUGAACGAGGAAUUCCCAGUAAGUGCAAGUCAUAAGCUUGCGCUGACUACGUCCCUGCCCUUUGUACACACCGCCCGUCGCUACUACCGAUUGAAUGAUUUAGUGAGGACUUCGGACUGGGACCGAUGCGGCUUUCGGGCUGCGUCGGUAUUCUGGAAAGAUGUCCAAACUGUAUCAUUUAGAGGAAGUAAAANUCGUANCA